rnacentral:lncRNA from 1 species
CCUUUCUUCAUACUUCAAACCGGCUUCUCUUAGCUUCAUCUUUCUUGUAUCCGGAUGUGAUAAGCUCUUGGACAAGGAGCUUUGGCUUGAGGUUCAUGACGCCUCUCCAUCCUCCUCUGCUUCCAAAGAGACACUCUCCAUCAGGUAAAGACAGGCACGGUUGAGAGAUAAGGAGAACACUCCACGCUUCAAGCUUCUUUUUUCUUCAAGAACUGAACUUGGCUGGUAAUGUCUUCAAGGGUUUGGUUUGAGCUGAGAUGAGAGCUGUGGAUUUACGGAAGCUCAGCUCAGGUUCUGAUGAACCUGGCUCUGAUACCAUAUGAGAUUUGAGAGCUCUGGCUGUGUAUGUGUAUGAGAAGCCAUUAGAGGCAAAGAAUAAGGUCUUGAGCUAGUUGAAUAAGAGGUCUGAUGAAACUAGUAUGAACUUGAAUCAGAA